rnacentral:rRNA from 1 species
GUAGGUGAACCUGCGGAAGGAUCAUUAAAGAAAGUAGCAGCAGCAGCAGCAUUUGCGUGCAAGUGUUGUUGUUGCUGCGGCAACGGUUGCAGGUGUCCCUCGGCUGCCUUUGGGUAGACGAGCAGGACACUGUUGGGGUGAAAGGCUAAUGGCAAUAAAAAGCAAAUGGGAAAACACGGGCCAAAUUUGGCUAGCCGUUUCGUCGUCGUCGUCGUCGUCGUGGUAAUCGGUAACACAGUUGAUGAGCGCUGGUGAGCAGCAGAUAUGGCAUGCUUCCUAAAACGAGAUCAUCUGCUCCCAGCAUGGCUGUUGGUGUGGUCGGUGUCGUCGUGAGUCUUCUCGACCGAAACUCACGGCGUGGUCGGCCGUGGGUGCGCACUAGCUGUGCGCUCACAAGAAAGCUAAUGUAAAAACACAGUGCGCGGUGGAUCACUUGGACCGCCGUUCGAUGAAGAACGCCGCAGAGUGCGAUAAGUUCCGCGAAAUGCAGACAUCCUGGAACGGAAAAUCUUUGAACGCAAAUGGCGGCUGUGAAUACAAUAUUCAUGGCCGCAUCCGACUGAGUACCGUCUCUUGUACACGCGAGGUCAGCGAAGGCUCUAGGGUCAAACGAAAUGGUCUUGUGCUGUUUCGGUUUGAUUGAUCGGUUACUGCGCAGGACGGUGGCGGGCGCAGGCAACUUAGAUGAGAACUGUGGGAUGAUAGAGGUUGCGAAGCUCAUGGCAGCAGCGAUAGAACGUGUCGGUAGACUAAAAAGGGUAAAAAGUUGUCGCUAAAGACGAGAGCAGUGAAAACAGACUGCUGCGACUGACUGGGGCGGUAACUGCUUGCUGUUACAUGGGCUUCUUGCAUUCUUCUACGAUCUCAGUUCGGGUGAGAUAAUCCGCUGAACUUAAGCAUAUCAAUAAGCGGAAGAAAGAAAACCAACGGGGAUUCCCGUAGUAAUGGCGAAUGAACGGGGAAAAGUUCAUGACUGAAUCGCGCUGACCUGUCAGAUGCGAGUUGUGGUGUUCGGUGAUCGGUUUCGUGGGAUCAGUUGCGUCGCAUAAAGUUCAGGUUGAAUACGGCUUUGGCCACAGAGAGUGAUAGUCCCGUGUUUGCGACCUGCCAGUUCCAAGGGCUGAUCUGUGAGUCGAAUUGUUUGAGAUUGCAAUUCAAAUGUGUGUGGUAAACUCCAUACAAAGCUAAAUAUGACGGCGGUGCCGAUAGCGAAGAAGUACCGUGAGGGAAAGUUGAAAAGGACUUUGAAAAGAGAGUUAAAUAGUACGUGAAACUGCGCAUUGAAAAGCAAAUGGGUACGCUUAAAGUUUGGUCUUGGCAAUUCAGGUGUGUUCACUGGUGGUACACCCAGGUGUGCCACUGUGCACAUCGCACUUUGUUGGCUAACGCCCUGCAUGGCUUUUCCUCUUCUGCAGGCGCGAUGACUUUACCUGUCGACAACGUCGAUAUUGGUAAAUCGUGAUUGGACGUGUUCGCAAGAACACCGAUGUGGUCAGGCUGUGGCCGGUAACAACUACUGGCUUGGUCGUCAGUUGAGGUAGAGCUUUAAAACUCGAAUCGGGCAUUCCGAGGAUGUAUUCGCUGGGUCGGUGGUGGGGAAGCGUCUCGAUUCAAUUCAUUGGUCGUGGCGUUUGCUUGCUGCCGACACCGCUGCGGAUCCGGUCGAUUGUUCGAAUGAAUGCAGGAUGAAUGGCGGCAUCAUUUGAACCGUCUUGAAACACGGGCUAAGGAGUUCAACAAAUGCGCGAGUUAUCCAGUGGGCGCGAAGCUGGGUAGCAAAGUCAACGCGAUUUGUUAAUAAUUGUGAUAACCGGCAGCGUUCACGCGCUGGCCGGGUCAUCACUCAUGAUGGAUGGCACUUGAUUGAGAGUACUGUAGGUUGUCGUUCGCACGCGAGCGCACAUGUUGAGACCCGAAAGAUGGUGAACUAUGCCUGAACAGGAUGAAGCCGGAGGAAACUCUGGUGGAGGUCCGUAGCGUUUUUGACGUGCAAAUCAAUCGUCAGAUUUGGGUAUAGGGGCGAAAGACUAAUCGAACCAUCUAGUAGCUGGUUCCCUCCGAAGUUUCC